rnacentral:ncRNA from 2 species
UAACGUCUUCAGGGCGGGGUGAGAUUCCCCACCGGCGGUAGGCGCAGGGCCGAAGGGUCUCCGCGCGAGCCCGCGAGCGCCUCCGGCCGCACCGGAGGGUCAGCAGAUCCGGUCCGACGCCGGAGCCGACGGUCACAGUCCGGAUGAAAGAAGACGGCU